UACGUAGGGUGCAAGCGUUAAUCGGAAUUACUGGGCGUAAAGCGUGCGCAGGCGGCUUUGCAAGACAGAUGUGAAAUCCCCGGGCUUAACCUGGGAACUGCAUUUGUGACUGCAGGGCUGGAGUGCGGCAGAGGGGGAUGGAAUUCCACGUGUAGCAGUGAAAUGCGUAGAGAUGUGGAGGAACACCGAUGGCGAAGGCAGCCCCCUGGGCUAACACUGACGCUCAUGCACGAAAGCGUGGGGAGCAAACAGG
rnacentral:rRNA from 1 species